GUGGAGUUGGCUUACUAGACCCUCCGGCUUCUCUGAAGGAAGUUCACGUGCAGACAAACAGGGAAAGGUGGACACAGACUCACAGAGAGGAGAAUACCUUGUGAAGACACAGACACAGAGGCAAGACGGCCAUUUGAAGGCAGAGGCAGAGACUGAGUGAUGUACCUACAAGCGAGGAAUGCCAAGGAUUGCCAGCAACCCCCGGGAGCUGGAGAGACAAGGAAGGACCCUUCCCUGGAGCCUUCAGAGAGAGCAUGACGCUGUCAACACCUCGAUUUAAGACUUCCAGCCUCCGGAAUGAGCCCAAAAGUCCCAUCUGGUUUCAGUAUCAAGCUCAAAGCUGAGGAUCUCAUGACAGCCUCUAUGUUAGAGAAUGAGGCGCAGUCUCAUCGGUCUGGAGUAUGGCUGCUCUUGAUCUGGAAACUAGUGGACUAGAAAGGAACUUGAAAGUGGGACUCCACAAGCAACUGACAGAAAGACAGCCUCACCCUCAUCAACCACCAUUCUUGCUCCUCAUCUCACUGGUUCUUCAGAAGAGGGGACUCGAGCAUUGGGAAGGGAGUUGGACUGCUGGCCCCACGCUUCUUCCCAAGUCUGUUUAAUCAACUAUUCUACUUAUUCUUUCAUUUGUUCAGGAAGCAUCCAUUGGUCUGUGAUUUGUAAGCACUUCAUGAUAUUUCAUGAAAUCUCUACAUUCCAUCCAUUUGGCUUGCUGGAAGUUCAGUGACCCUGAGUCUGGAGGCAGGGGGUUAUUAUCACCUACAUUUUACAGAUGUGGAAACUCAGGCUCAAAAAGGUGGCGUAACUUGCCCACAGUCUCAGCUGUAAAGUGGGAAACCGGGAAUCUAGUUAAGUCUGUCUGAAUCCAGAGCUCCUGCAUUUUCCUCCUGGAGCAGGGUAUCGCUCCUUCUCCCAUCCACAGGCUUGGGGUUGGUUUGGGGUCGGUUGUAUGGUGGUGGUGGUGGUGGCCAUAUGGCACAGGGAGGAAGAACACCAUGCUUCUCAGGUAAUACGGAGGAUAGUGCAAUAUGCAGACGUAGACACAAGGGGGCAGAGAGCCACAGGGCACACAGCUCCCCUGGCCGGGGCUGGGUAUGGUUCUUGUUUCUUGCUUCCUAUACUUUUUUUUUUAAAUUAAGAAAAGGAUGUGUACAACUAUUAAAUAUAUACCUGAACUAUAAAUGUUUCAUAAUAUGCUGCAAGAAAUAGUGGAGGAAUUGAAGAACGUAAAACAAAUGUGGAGAGGAAAGAAUGAGAGCAGUGACGUCUCAACACGGUACAAGGCAAAGAGUCACUUAAAAUUUCUUUUUUCUUUUUUUAUGAGUAUGGUGAUUUAGAUGAAACAUUGCAACAAUUUCUUACUCAAUGGUAUUUUAAUUCCUACCUUUUCUUUUUUUUUGGAAAAAAAUUAGACCUCUUUAAAUUAUUUUUACUGGAGGGAAAAAUAUCUUUAAUUAUGGAACAGGAAGGGAAUAUAAUCUCAUUUUAUAGGAAAGAAGUCUGCAUGGAUGGUGUUUUAUUUUAGUCUUUCAGUAUUUUAGAAUGUUAGUACUCAGACUUGAAGUCAUGUUGUGUUUCUACAACUGUAGGCAGAAAUAGGCUCAUCUCUUGAUAUUGCCCGCAGAGUGAAUGGAGUUAAGGCAAGAGCCGGAUCUGGUGUAGCUGGUCCAGGGAGCCCCCUUGGGGCCCUCACUUUACAUGAUGUGAAGUUCAGUAUGUCCACGGCCUACAGGAGAAAAUAAUUUUGGCUUUUUUUGAAGGAGUCUGGAACAUGCUUUCAAAAACGAAGACUCUCCCACUUAAACCACAUGGAAAUCUGAAGCAUUCUAUUUUGUGUGCUGUGAUUAUUGGUCACUGAAGCUUCAUUAGUGAAAAGAAACACCCAGCAGAGCAGGAGCCAAGCGUUUGGUCUAGUGAGAAAUGAGGGCCUGAAGCUGUCAGCUGCAGAAUGGAAGGGGGGCCCGUGGCAGGGCAGUACCUUCCUGCCCUGUAACUCAGAACCAGCAAAGGGGGUCAAUGUUUUGCUUGUUUAGUCCCUUAUUAAACUGGACUUCAUCUCCAUAUUGAUCGCCUUCCGUGCAGGUGAAUGGAUAUGUUAGGAGUGUAUUGUUCUGAUCAGUCCUGGUUGUCUAGCGAUAUAUCCACUGAUACGGAUAAGGCCAUCCCUCAUAACCCUUGUUGGAGCCAUGCUCCUCUGCAUCAUGCAGACACAUUUCCUUGGCAAAGAAGACCAGUGUUUGAUGUUCAGAAAUGAGAGAACCCAAGGAGCCUCAGCUCUUUGUGGAACACACUGGGGAGAAGUUAUGAGUAAUAAAGUGGGUGACAUGAGGGCUGAAGUUUAAGAACUCCUGUGGCAGUUUGGUUGGGCUCAGUUGGAGGGUGUGGGAGGAAUGUGAUGGGGCUGAACCCAAAUUAUGGAGGAAACUUCAUCAUGCCAGACCAAGGAGGAAGUGAGGGAUCCAUUGGGUGGCUUUAAGCAGGGAAUAAUAUGACCACACUGGAGGUGGAAAGUCUGGCGGUGGGGAGAUCAAUUCAGACCCUCUUGCAACAGUCCAGGAGCGGUGGUACCCUGGAUCAAGGGACUAGAGGAGAGAAGGGGAUGGACAAGAGUGCUCAGGGAGGUGGACUUGAUGACCACUAGCUAAUGGGAUUUGAUGAGGUGAUGCAUGUGAAGUGUUUAGCACAGUAUCAGGCCCACAGGAAGUUACUGAUAAACAGCAGCUGCCAUUGUAUGGGCGGACAGGAGAGGGAGCCGUUACAGAGGAGGGGAGCCUUGAACAUUCUACAGUGCAACCCGACCCAGGAGUGAUGGAAUCAGUUACUCCGAGACUAAGAGGAUCACAGGAGUGAAUGAAGCCCACCACUGCCUCACAGCAGAUCCUAAUUCCUGAGAGGACCUCCUUUCCCCUCACACCCCGCAAAGACAGCUGCAGAUUCCUCAGAAAAAUCUUCCCACUGUCCAUGGGCUUCUAUCCUUUUUCCUUUCUCCCCAUCAGAGCAGCUUGCCGGGCGGGGUUCAGUCCUGCAGUGGACAAUCCAAUCUGAACAUGGACGUCUACAGCUUAACGGGUUACCCACCGGCCCAGCUGUUGGCCAUGCUCACAGGGUAACUAGGAAG
ensembl:lncRNA